ACUACUUGCAGGUAGAAGUCUCCAGGGCGCAGCAGCUGCCAGGGAAGGGCUGCUAGCUGCACUACCACCUGCUCAUGCAAGCAGAGUGGCCAGCCCUCGUGGAAGAAGAGGAAUCCACUAUACUGGGCCUGGAGAGAGAAGAGGAAAUUAGCCUGGCAGAAAAGGGUUGACAGCCACUCACACAGGCUUCCUGCUGGACCUUGGCAAGCAGGUGUUUAGCGGGUACCAGGAAGUCCAGCGUGUACCUCAGCGCAUCCUCCUGAACCUGUAGGAUUGGUCACAGUGAAUUGGGUGGAGCCAUUUGAAAGAAGAUAAAGACACACCCAAAAUUCUUGGAGAAGAGAGGAGGUGGUUUGAUACUAUGUAUUCCAGUUGUUUGGUUUUUUUUUUUUUUUUUUUUUUCCUAAUUCCAGAGGGUUCUAUCUGAUAACCUGUCUCAAAGACUAAGUCGUGUCCCUUUCUGACCAACUCCCUCAGUGAAUCACUCAUUGGGCUACGUUUCUUCACCUCACUUCCUAAACAAUAGCUCUGGGGUCUACUUCUUUGCAUGUCCUUAUCUCUUUCAAGAUGGCUUAAGUUCCUUUCAUCAGAUGUCUUUGCUGUAAAUGAGGAGAGUAUUUUGCAGUCUUGAUCUCUCUACCUCUCUUUGCAUUCAUUAGCUCUCUGCCCAUUGCAGAUGGUCCUGCUUCCAACCCAAGACAAAAAUUACUUAGUUUACUCU
rnacentral:lncRNA from 1 species